rnacentral:sRNA from 1 species
UGACCAGCAAUAUGCUAAAGGCUACACGGACGGCCGGGUCAGAUGCCGA